UACUGGUCUGUGAGGAUCCAAGCAGGCUAGCAGUACAUGUUGCAAGUGGCUGUUCCAGCCUCUCCUAUCCCAUUGCCAGUUCACAGUUCUGGACAUUUUCUGCAACUGGAGAGACCUGGUUGGCAGCCCUGUAGAUGGACAGACAGAGCUUGCUGUUCCUCCUUAGAGAGCAAGGAGGACUGUUGUUCUACAUGAAACGUAUUAAUUAGAUAUCUGCAUCGUAAAGGAAACACUUGAGCUGUAUGCUUCCAUACAACAUCACAUCUCUAGAUCACGCUGAAUUUAAGGACAAACCUCUUCCCUGGGUUGCUUGCAUCAAGCUGCGCAAAUCCUGAUGGCCUUAAGCGUACCUACCUGUUCCCAGUGGAGCUACUCACGUCCUGCGUUGUGCAGAAAUUAAACUAUAUUCGGAAAGGCCUGCUUCAAAACCCAGCAGCAAGGCUAAGGGCCUCAAUAUCACCUGUGUUGUCUGAGGGGGAAUAGCCGAAGGAAAAUGUUCCCAUCCUGUUCUCAAGACUGAAAAGCAAAGAUGUGCUGGAGACCAAUGACAAUAAUUCUUCCAGGCCUGGCUUUGGUGAAAUCCAAAUGAGAACAGGUUAUCUGAGGUUCUCCUUCUACCCCAUGUCACCAAACACCUCUGCAGGGAUGAGACGUCCUAAGUGAAUUCUGGUGAGAAGAGGAAGCAGAGGACAGGCCGCAAUCAAGCCAAAGCGUCAGGCAACAGAAAUCAGCCUGCUUGUGUGAGAGCUGCACC